GCCCGGCUGGCGCAAUGGUUAGCGCGUCAGACUUCUAAGUGCUUCAUCCGGCCUCUGGAAUCUGACGGUUGCGGGUUCGAGUCCCGCGUCGGGUG
rfam:Catenaria anguillulae PL171 BCR44scaffold_9, whole genome shotgun sequence.